UACGUAGGGUGCAAGCGUUGUCCGGAAUUAUUGGGCGUAAAGAGCUCGUAGGCGGUCCGUCGCGUCGGGAGUGAAAACUCAGGGCUUAACCCUGAGCCUGCUUCCGAUACGGGCAGACUAGAGGUAUGCAGGGGAGAACGGAAUUCCUGGUGUAGCGGUGGAAUGCGCAGAUAUCAGGAGGAACACCGGUGGCGAAGGCGGUUCUCUGGGCAUUACCUGACGCUGAGGAGCGAAAGUGUGGGGAGCGAACAGG
rnacentral:rRNA from 1 species